ACGGAAGGCAGCAGUGGGGAAUAUUGGACAAUGGGCGAAAGCCUGAUCCAGCGACGCCGCGUGAGUGAAGAAGUAUUUCGGUAUGUAAAGCUCUAUCAGCAGGGAAGAUAAUGACGAUACCUGACUAAGAAGCCCCGGCUAACUACGUGCCAGCAGCCGCGGUAAUACGUAGGGGGCAAGCGUUAUCCGGAUUUACUGGGUGUAAAGGGAGCGUAGACGGUAUGGCAAGUCUGAUGUGAAAACCCAGGGCUCAACCCUGGGACUGCAUUGGAAACUGUCAAACUAGAGUGCAGGAGAGGUAAGUGGAAUUCCUAGUGUAGCGGUGAAAUGCGUAGAUAUUAGGAGGAACACCAGUGGCGAAGGCGGCUUACUGGACUGUAACUGACGUUGAGGCUCGAAAGCGUAGGGAGCAAACAGGAUUAGAUACCCUGGUA
rnacentral:rRNA from 1 species